UUUCGUGAUACCAACACAUGAGAUAGCUAUGCGAUGAAUCGCAAAGAACAGUGAAG
rnacentral:lncRNA from 1 species